GGAUUGAAAUGGGGGCACCCUGAUCCAGCAAUGCCGCGUGAGUGAUGAAGGCCUUAGGGUUGUAAAGCUCUUUCGCGCGCGACGAUGAUGACGGUAGCGCGAGAAGAAGCCCCGGCUAACUUCGUGCCAGCAGCCGCGGUAAUACGAAGGGGGCGAGCGUUGUUCGGAAUUACUGGGCGUAAAGGGCGCGCAGGCGGCCAAACAAGUCAGGCGUGAAAGCCCCGGGCUUAACCUGGGAAUUGCGCUUGGGACUGUUUGGCUUGAGUACGGGAGAGGAGAGUGGAAUUCCCAGUGUAGAGGUGAAAUUCGUAGAUAUUGGGAAGAACACCGGUGGCGAAGGCGGCUCUCUGGACCGUAACUGACGCUGAGGCGCGAAAGCGUGGGGAGCAAACAGGAUUAGAUACCCUGGUAGUCCACGCUGUAAACGAUGUGCGCUAGACGUUGGGAGGCCUAGCCUUCCGGUGUCGCAGCUAACGCUUUAAGCGCACCGCCUGGGGAGUACGGCCGCAAGGUUAAAACUCAAAAAAAUUGACGGA
rnacentral:rRNA from 1 species